GCUGGCGGCGUGCUUAACACAUGCAAGUCGAACGCGAAAGGGGCAACCCCCGGUAGCGUGGCAGACGGGUGAGUAACACGUGGGCAACCUACCCGGAGGUGGGGAACAACCCUUCGAAAGGGGGGCUAAUUCCGCAUGACAUCACGGGGUCUACGGAUCCUGUGAUCAAAGCUGGCCUCUGCUUGCAAGCUAGUGCCACCGGAGGGGCCCGCGGCCCAUUAGCUAGUUGGUGAGGUAAAGGCUCACCAAGGCUACGAUGGGUAGCCGGCCUGAGAGGGCGAUCGGCCACACUGGAACUGAGACACGGUCCAGACUCCUACGGGAGGCAGCAGUGAGGAAUCUUGCGCAAUGGGCGAAAGCCUGACGCAGCGACGCCGCGUGGAGGAUGAAGGUCUUCGGGUCGUAAACUCCUGUCGAGCGGGACGAAUCCCGGAAGGGCGAAUAGCGCUUUCGGUUGACGGUACCGCUGGAGGAAGCCCCGGCUAACUCCGUGCCAGCAGCCGCGGUAAUACGGAGGGGGCUAGCGUUGUUCGGAAUUAUUGGGCGUAAAGGGCGCGUAGGCGGCUUGGCAAGUCGGAUGUGAAAUCCCCCGGCUCAACCGGGGAACUGCAUCCGAAACUGCCUGGCUUGAGUCCUGGAGAAGGCAGCGGAAUUCCCAGUGUAGCGGUGAAAUGCGUAGAUACUGGGAAGAACACCCGUGGCGAAA
rnacentral:rRNA from 1 species